UGAGGGGGGCUGCUCCUAGUACGAGAGGACCGGAGUAGACGCAUCACUGGUGUUCGGGUUGUCAUGCCAAUGGCACUGCCCGGUAGCUAAAUGCGGAAGAGAUAAGUGCUGAAAGCAUCUAAGCACGAAACUUGCCCCGAGAUGAGUUCUCCCUGACUCCUUGAGAGUCCUGAAGGAACGUUGAAGACGACGACGUUGAUAGGCCGGGUGUGUAAGCGCAGCGAUGCGUUGAGCUAACCGGUACUAAUGAACCGUGAGGCUUAACCUUACAACGCCGAAGCUGUU
rnacentral:rRNA from 1 species